rnacentral:rRNA from 1 species
GACGAACGCUGGCGGCGUGCCUAAUACAUGCAAGUCGAGCGGAUGACGGAGGAGCUUGCUCCUCCCGAUUCAGCGGCGGACGGGCGAGUAACACGUGGGCAACCUGCCCUGUAGAUUGGGAUAACUCCGGGAAACCGGGGCUAAUACCGACUAAUCCUUCGGACCACAUGGUCCGAUGUCGAAAGACGGCUUCGGCCGUCACUGCAGGAUGGGCCGGCGGCGCAUUAGCUAGUUGGUGGGGUAACGGCCCACCAAGGCGACGAUGCGUAGCCGACCUGAGAGGGUGAUCGGCCACACUGGGACUGAGACACGGCCCAGACUCCUACGGGAGGCAGCAGUAGGGAAUCUUCCGCAAUGGACGAAAGUCUGACGGAGCAACGCCGCGUGAGUGACGAAGGUUUUCGGAUCGUAAAACUCUGUUGUGAGGGAAGAACAAGUACCAACUAACUACUGGUACCUUGACGGUACCUCACCAGAAAGCCACGGUUAACUACGUGCCAGUCGCCGCCGUAAUAC